UCCUCCCCUCCGUCUUCCUCCCCUCCGUCUUCCUCCUGCUCCUGCGUGUAUACUGCUCCCUCCACGUCCUCUCAGAGCAUGGUUUGGGUGGCGUAGUGUGGGCAGUGAUAACAGCCCUGAAGAACACCGAGUGCUUCCCCGCAGGCAAGCACAGUUCCAGGCGCCUUAGACGCACUAGCUCAUUGAACCUUCCUAUCCACCUUUGAGGUGUGUGUGCAAAAUGCUGGGAGAGAACAGACAAGGAAGUGACUCACCUUCUCUUGGAAAACCGAGCUUUACAGACAGGUGGAAUCUCUCCAGUCUUACAGGAUUUGAACAGAGAGGGACAGAAUGAGAGAG